rnacentral:tRNA from 1 species
CAGAAAAUAGUUUAUUUAAAAUAUUAAUUUUGGGUAUUAAUGAAAUGAUUUUAUUUUUUUUUCUGA